rnacentral:lncRNA from 1 species
UAGGUUAGGAGCCAUUGUAGGCUUGCACUUCUCAAGUGGCGGAGAAGAUCAUGGGAUUCUGGAAGUUUUCCCACAACGACACUUUCCUAGUUUAUAGGAUAGUGGUUGCAAUCUCUUCCUUGAAAGAUGCAAACCCCUGCGAAUCCAUGGGCUUAUCGGAUUGUUGAGUCGUGGCUGAGCAGUGCAACUCUACUUAGGAGGAGAUGCUCAGCUGAUUCUGAUUAAGCCUUGUUGGGC